rnacentral:rRNA from 1 species
ACUCACCAGGUCCGGACACAGUAAGGAUUGACAGAUUGAUAGCUCUUUCUUGAUUCUGUGGGUGGGGUGCAUGGCCGUUCUUAGUUCGUGGAGUGAUUCGUCUGGUUAAUUCCGAUAACGAACGAGACCUCAACCUGCUAACUAGUCCUGUCAAUUUUCCUUCACAGGGAUUGGCAGCUAAAAAAUUUAAGACUUCUUAGAGGGACUAUCAGGAAAUUUACAACUGGGGGAAGAGUGAGGCAAUAACAGGUCUGUGAUGCCCUUAGAUGUUCUGGGCUGCACGCGCGUUACACUGACCAAAGCAAUAAGUGCACAUAGUUAUUUUAUCGUAGCUGUUGUUCCUUGAUCGAUGGAUCUGGGUAAUCUUUGAACUUUGGUCGUGCUGGGGAUAGAUCAUUGUAAUUAUUGGUCUUCAACGAGGAAUCUCUAGUAAUCGCAAAUCAUUAAUUUGCGCUGACUACGUCCCUGCCCUUUGUACAC